rnacentral:lncRNA from 1 species
CAAACCAAUAGGGUUUAUUUAUAAAAGAGAUUUAUUGCAUAUAUGAGCUAUCCCAUAAUUUUUGGAUAAUUUUUGGAGUUGAAAAACUAUUUUAUUUAAAUAGUUAUAUAGCCCUAAAGGCAUUUAUAGGGCAAAUGUAUUUUUAGAUAUUUUAUUUUGAGGGGAAAUUACUCCCAAAAGUUGAAUCAUGAUAAAACAUGAUUUUACAAAUUUUCUGAAAUUUAUUUGGACCAAUUUGGAGUUCAAAAUCAAAAGAUAUCAAAGAAAUAAGGAAAAGGGAAAAAACAAAAAAAGAAGAAGAGAAAACCGGACCGGUCUGGCCGUUUUGGGCCGAACCGGCCCAGCAUCGCCCGAGCCAGCCCGAACCUGACCGGCCCCGCGCCGCGCGCGCGCCCGCUACCAC